GGGCCGUUAGCUCAGCCGGUAGAGCAUCGGACUUUUAAUCCGCUGGUCGCUGGUUCGAAUCCAGCACGGCCCACCA
rnacentral:tRNA from 1 species